rnacentral:tRNA from 1 species
GGUUGCGUAGUGUAAUGGUUAGCACUCAAGACUCUGAAUCUUGCAAUCCGAGUUCGAUCCUCGGCGCGACCU